AUUGAACGCUGGCGGCAGGCCUAACACAUGCAAGUCGAGCGGAUGAGAGGAGCUUGCUUCUCGAUUCAGCGGCGGACGGGUGAGUAAUGCCUAGGAAUCUGCCUGGUAGUGGGGGACAACGUUUCGAAAGGAACGCUAAUACCGCAUACGUCCUACGGGAGAAAGCAGGGGACCUUCGGGCCUUGCGCCAUCAGAUGAGCCUAGGUCGGAUUAGCUAGUUGGUGAGGUAAUGGCUCACCAAGGCGACGAUCCGUAACUGGUCUGAGAGGAUGAUCAGUCACACGGGAACUGAGACACGGUCCAGACUCCUACGGGAGGCAGCAGUGGGGAAUAUUGGACAAUGGGCGAAAGCCUGAUCCAGCCAUGCCGCGUGUGUGAAGAAGGUCUUCGGAUUGUAAAGCACUUUAAGUUGGGAGGAAGGGUUGUAGAUUAAUACUCUGCAAUUUUGACGUUACCGACAGAAUAAGCACCGGCUAACUCUGUGCCAGCAGCCGCCGUAAUAC
rnacentral:rRNA from 1 species